rnacentral:lncRNA from 1 species
UGGCCCAGUGUCCUCUACCACCCGGCCCCAGAGUGACAUGGGGGGUGCCGAUGGCAAACCAAGACCCCCCGCCCAACCUUCAGCCACCCUCCAGCCUCUCGGAGAAAGGAACUUCUCAGAGAAAACAAAACAGCUGCCACCUGGCCUGGUUGAACCUGCUCGUGGCCUGGCCGCAGUGGCAGGGAGUUAGGGCUGACCCUUUCAGCUGGGGGCCUGGAGGAGCCGGUGAAGGGCCAGAGCCUGGGAUCGCAGCAGCCCCACAUCUGCGCGCCUGACUCACGGACUCUGACAUAGUGACGGUUUGUGCAGCUUGCUAAGGAGAGAGCACCCAGGCCUGUCCUCCAAGGGCCCCGUCUGAGGCCCCGUCUCAGAGGUGCGGCAGUAACAGGGUCCCUCUGGAGCCCCAGCCCCCAGGGGGGAGUCCCUGCCCCACCUACCAGUCUGUGGCCCGUGCACAGUUUCUCCUCCCUGAGUGUCACCGCUUCCUCGCCUGUGAGCUGGGAGGACUAAGUGACCAGCGUGGCUCGUUCCUGGCACCACAUACACUGCAGCCCUCAUUCUGGUUGUUCCCACAUCUUGGCUGUCGUGAAUAGUGCUACAGCAAACAUCAAACUAAAAAGCUUCCACCCAGCAAAGGAGACAAUCAACAGAGUGAAAAGGCAACUACAGAGUGGGAGAAGAUAUUUACCAACCAUGUGUCUGAUAAGGGGUAUAUAGCCAAAGUACAUAAGGAACUCCUACAACUCCACAGCAAAAAAUUGAAUAACUCAAUUGAAAAAUGGACUAAGGAGUUGAAUUUUUCCAAAGAAGACACACAAGUGGCCAACAGGUACAUGAAAAGAUGCUCAACGUCACUGAUCAUCAGGGAAAUGCAAAUCAAAACAUUAUACCUGUGAGGAUGGUUGUUACCAAAAAAACAAAGACAAGUGUUGGUGAGGAUGUAGAGAAAUUGAAACCCUCACACACUGUUGAUGGGGAUGCAAAAUGAUGCGGUCGCUAUGGAAGAUAGUAUGGAGGCUACUCAAGAAGUUAAAAGUUGACUACCAUAUGAUCCAGCCACCCCACUUCUGGGUAGUUAUCUGCAAGAGCUGAAACCAGGCUUUCUUUUGCAGUGGGCAGUACUCUCCUUCCCCAGGUGCCCACUGUCCAGAGGUCCCUGCCUUUCUCCUGCACUACCUGCCUCGGGCCUGGGGCCUUUGCUGGGGUGCUCAGGAGCUUCUGAGGGUGGGAUUAACAGGCACUGAAGCUCGGUCACCUCCACAACUUCUAAGUCGGGUUUCUCACCAACGAUGUGAAGAUUUCAUGGAACAAGGGGCCUCUGCCGCCACCUGCUGGGCACCUGGGGAAAGGGCUCUUACGCCCCAAGGAGCCCUUCCUGCUGUCUGGGCAUUUAUAAAUGCAUGCCAGCAAUAGCAAUAACAAUAGCUGUGAUUUAUUAAAUGAUUAUCAGACAUUGUACCAAGUGCUUUCAAGACACGAUGUCUUAAUCUCCAACAGCCUUGAAAUGUGGCUGCCUUAUCCUCAUGUAUUUAUAUAGAGAGAUGAGGAAGCAUGCUCAGCAAGAGAAAGAAUGGUCAACAUCACACAGCCAGCGACUGGCCAGUGGAUUCGAACCCAGGUCUGUCUGGCCCCAAACUGGGGCUGAGCAGCGUCCUGGAGAAAGGCAGAGAGGGAGCGAGAGGGUGGGCAGGAGAGGCUGGAGGGCCGUAGAAGGUUCUGGAAACUACUCCUGGUGCCCUUCCCGGGAAGGUCCACUCACAGCUACUCCCUCUCUGGAUGCCCAGGGCCUUGCUCUGAGUCCUCCUCAGCACAUCCUUCUGCCCACCUUGGGCGUGCACUCCCUCACCCAGCAUCACAGCUGGGGAAACUGAGGCUCCAGAGGUGGAGAAUCUAGACCAUGGAUUCCAGGGAGUGUGGGGCAGAGGGGAGACUGAGCCCAGGCCCUGAGCCCAGUGCUGGGGGGACCCAAGUGAACAACCUGAAACAGGGAAGGCGACCUGAGCCCAAGUUUCUGUCCACGUCAACUCCUCACGAUCCGGGGCCCACAGGGCAGGUGGGCAUAGGGGCUGGGAGACCCUCUGUGGGAUAGAUUCCCGGUGCGCACUCUGAAUGAUGGCCUUGCCACCGUCAAGGGCCCUGCCUGUCCGUCAGGAGGCCUCUCCAAGGGAGGGCCUGCCACGAUGUCGGAGCAGCACUCUUUUCUGGCUCUGCCACUUCCCAGCUCUGUGAUCUUGGGCAACUUCCUUCAGCUUUCCGAGCCUCAGUUUACCCUUCUGUAAAAUGGGACUAAUCGCAGUCUCUACCUCUUCGAGCUGGAUUGGGAACCAAGUGACAACCCAUACGUAAAGCCCUGAGUGCUCAGGAAGCACUUGAUAAAUGGCAUCACUAGGGACCCCCACAGACACACACUAGCCAGGUCUCAAUGCCUCUGCCAGGCUGAGAAGCAGGCGUUGUGGGAUGCCUCUGCAGGGGAAACUGAGUCACUAGGUCAGGAAGUGCCUGGGCCUAGGCUUCAGCUUGAGUCACAGGCCUAAUGCUGGGAAACCUCCCUGCAGCCACCUCCAGAAAUGCUUCGUGCCUCUGUCUGGCGGCCUCAGAGCCUCCACCCCGUGUCACCAGCCAGGGGACCUUCCCCCAAGGAGCCCCC